CCAUUCACGAAUCCUGCGAGCACUUCUGCUCUGACAUACCUACAAAAUAAUAAAAAUGGACUUGCAUAACAACCCAUCGGAAGAUCACAC